rnacentral:rRNA from 1 species
ACUCAAAUGAAUUGACGGGGGCCCGCACAAGCGGUGGAUCAUGUGGUUUAAUUCGAAGCAACGCGAAGAACCUUACCUGGAUUUGACAUCUCCGGACCGCUGCAGAAAUGCAGAAUUCGUAGCAAUACGACCGGAAGACAGGUGCUGCAUGGCUGUCGUCAGCUCGUGUGGUGACAUGUUGGGUUAAGUCCCGCAACGAGCGCAACCCCUGUCCCUAGUUGCCAGCAUUAAGUUGGGCUCUCUAGGGAGACUGCCGUGGUGAACACGGAGGAAGGUGGGGAUGACGUCAAGUCCUCAUGGCCUUUAUAUCCAGGGCGACACACGUGAUACAAUGGAGGGUACAGAGGGAAGCGAAAGAGCGAUCUGGAGCCAAUCUCAAAAAGCCCUUCUCAGUUCGGAUUGGAGUCUGCAACUCGACUCCAUGAAGUUGGAAUCGCUAGUAAUCGCGGAUCAGCACGCCGCGGUGAAUACGUUCCCGGGCCUUGCACACACCGCCCGU